rnacentral:sRNA from 1 species
AACGUGCUAAUCCGUAUGUUGUGACUCCUUGCCUGUCGAAUUCCAUGCACAACGACGUUCAAGUGGUGCUCAAGAGGUGCGUUUCGAUUGCGUUUCAGCCACCGCAUCAUGGGCAAGAAGCACGGUUCAACAGCUGGCUGGAAAGCUGGGAAGACCGUUUUGUAUUCAGGGAACGUCUCCAUCCUGCCGUUCGUAAGAAAGUAAUGAUCAGUUUCGUCCUCCACGUAAGAUCUCGUUGAAUAGAGCUCGCUAGCGAAAUGCUCAGCAUUGCCGGUCCCUAUAAAGAAUGAGCGAUGAUAUCCGUGACACUGUACGUGACGCAAACCACAUUCUGGCUCAGAUGGUCAGCGUCAGCAAUACCGCGGAGGGCUGCGAGCCCCGCGGGCGAGAAGGAGACUCUGGCAUGGCGAAACAGUAAUGGGAGACUUUGUGCCCUCAGGCGCUUGUUCAU